rnacentral:rRNA from 1 species
CACGUAGGAGACAAGCGUUAUUCGGAUUUACUGGGCGUAAAGCGCGUGCAGGCGGUCUGACAAGUUGGAUGUGAAAGCUCCUGGCUUAACUGGGAGAGGUCGUUCAAAACUAUCAGACUAGAGAGUGGUAGAGGAAGGCGGAAUUCCGGGUGUAGUGGUGAAAUGCGUAGAUAUCCGGAGGAACACCAGUGGCGAAAGCGGCCUUCUGGACCAAUUCUGACGCUCAGACGCGAAAGCUAGGGUAGCGAAC